CCUACGGGCGGCGGCAGUGAGGAAUAUUGGUCAAUGGGCGCGAACCUGAACCAGCCAAGUAGCGUGAAGGAUGACUGCCCUACGGGUUGUAAACUUCUUUUAUAAAGGAAUAAAGUGAGGCACGUGUGCCUUUUUGUAUGUACUUUAUGAAUAAGGAUCGGCUAACUCCGUGCCAGCAGCCGCGGUAAUACGGAGGAUCCGAGCGUUAUCCGGGUUUAUUGGUUUUAAAGGUGGCGUAGAUGGUUUUUUAAGUCAUUUGUGAAAGUUUGCGGUUAAACCGUAAAAUGGAAAGUGAUACGGCAGUCUUGAGUACAGUUGAGGUAGGCGGAAUUCGUGGUGUAGCGGUGAAAUGCUUAGAUAUCACGAAGAACUCCGAGUGCGAAGGCAGCUUACUAAACUGCCACUGACAUUGAUGCUCGAAAGUGUGGGUAUCAAACAGGAUUAGAUACCCUUGUAGUC
rnacentral:rRNA from 1 species